AGUGAACCGAUGUUUGUAGAUUGAACAAUUGGAGUCCAAGGUUCAACAAGAACUUGAAACACUCAGAGAAAAGAUUAAAACCAUGGAAGACGAAAUGGUAACUUAUAGUAACCUGGAUCAGUUGAAGCUAACUGCCGAAGACAGACGGCAGCGAAUGAUUGAAGAGGAGAAACAUCUUCACGCAAAGAGGGAUGCUAUAAAGAAAGUCGUGUCGGAGGCUACCAGUCAGUACGAAGAACUUAAAAGUAAGCUGAACGAGAACGAGACAUUCACUCAACUCAACAACUUGGAGCGGCGUUGGCAACACCAAGAACAGAAUAAUUUUGCUAUGAAGGAAUUCAUUGCAACAAAAAAAGCUGAAACAGAUUUCCGUCCUACCCAGAAAGUGGUGGAGUAUUACUGCAAAUCAAAAGGACUAGAAAUAGCUGGAUAUUACCAAGGAAAUGAAAAUUUUCAAGAUUCAAGCCCGGAUGCCGUUGCUUAUCGAGUAGCCGAGAAAGUUCAAGAAAAUUUUAGUGACACGUGUCUUGUUAUCGUGGAUAACCAAAAAAUUUCUGUUGAGUGCAAAGAAAUUGGUUUCCAGCUGUAUCAACACAGUGAUAAUAAGUGGAAGUUGAAAGAUAAAACCAGUGUAUUUCUUGAGCAAGGUCAUGGUGCACUUGGAAUUGCGUCAACACUUCUACAGUCUAAGGUUUACAGACACUUGGUGGAUUUUGAUAAUCAUCUUGAUGAUAUAUCUCAAGACUGGAGUAACCAGUUAAUAAAUGAAGAAAUAGCACGUUGUUUAUAGCAGUGAAUUAAUUAAAUUAAUAUCCCUGUAAGUUGUAUUAUAUCAUUGUGUUUUAGAUAAAGAAAUGGAAAACCUAGAGCAAAAUAUCCUCAUCAGUUCUACAUUCAGGCUAAAGAUUUAGUUGGGAUGCAGUGAUCAUAAAUGAAUGUUUUUCCUCAUGUGAAACCUUUGAUAUGUACAGGUAUAGAGAGCAUGUUGUAGGCAUACACAGAAUGUCUGUUAAUACAGGGACAGGUAUGGAGAAUAUGCUGUUGGCAUACACAGAAUGUCUAUUAAUAAAAGGUAUUAAUUAAUUAUAUUAUAUCAAGUUCAAAAAUAUUGUCGUAUAAGUAAUUACUUAACAAAUCACCACUAAGUUAUUGGUUUAUUUUUAAAUGUAAUUCAGGAAACAUACUUUAUGUAAAAUUUCAUUGGUUGUAAAGUUUCUUUGUGUUGAAAAA